AUUCAAUCGUUCUACCACUUCUUCAAGCAAUAAUUCCAUAACUAAAUCAGCUGCAGUUGGCGAGAAGGGAUUUCCCAUGGCGGUUCCAGAGAUCUGUUUGAAGUACUGUCCACGAAAUGAGAAGUAGCUACAUUCCAUGCAGAAAUUUACAAUUUCAAUGAAAAAAUCAAGGUUGAUUUUCGUGUGUCGUUUGAUUUUAUCCCAUUUGGUUAUUAUUGUGUGUAUUACUAGACUCAUGGGUAUGCAAGUGAAUAGAGAUACCACAUCCAACGAAAUAAGAAUGUAGCUUGGUGGCAGUCGUACCGUAUUAAUGUACUCGCAGAAACUGAAAGAGUCUGUUACAUUAUACUCACACUCAAUCGAUGCUCGCACGAUGCGUCCAAUAUAUUUAGACAGCAUGUAUGAUGGUACUCCGAUGUUGGGUACGACUUGCCGGAGCGGUAGGUCCUGCUUAUGUGCUUUCGGUAGUCCAUAUAUUCUUGGGCAAUGCGAUGACAAGGUGCAUAGCUGAUAGGCUGUUGUAGAAUCAAUCAACUCUAAGUUUAGCAGUUGAUUUACCAAAGACUGCGAAGCCGAAAGAAACUCCUCUGAGUAAACUAACAGUCGAUAAAAAGUAUAGUGCAUCCGUAUUACGAAACUGAGACAAAUUGUAGGAACUGGAAAUAAAGGUGGGGCUUAUCUAAAGAUUGCUCUAAGCCAGAAUGAAUGAAAUGUAUUUUUCCUACAUUAGCAUUGCGACAUACAAAAUAAUUUUUUUGAACGCUGGAGAAUGAUAUAACUGGAAGAAAAGUUACGCCUCUAUUUCCAGUUAUACCAUUUUCUAACGUUCGAAAAAUUUAUUAUGAGCGGAUAUCGCAUGCGAUCUGACCAUGAGGCAUUUAUGCGAUAGUUGAAUGAAAAUUUCAAUUGCAAUUUUCUAGCGGAACGAAAGUAAUAGCGCUCUCAGGGUUUGACCAAUCGGUUUCCGAUCUUCUACAAAGUUUCUUGGUAUCGUUAGGGCUUCAUUUUGCAUGUUUGAAUUAGUUCGAAGUUUAGCCGCAAAGGUGGCGUUGCGAUGCUAACUUCUUUCUCUUACGUGCUAGAGCUUUGCGGUAUUCGACAAAGUUGUAGAUCUCUAAUUUCCAUGGAACUUUACAGAAUAUACAAAUUUUAUAACUCUUCAAGUUUCAAGUAUGAGUUCACUCUGAUUAAUAUUGUACAUAACCGGCGAAAUAUACGAAACAAAUCCGAUUUCAAACAGAAAAGUUCGGCACGUUCUGCUUACGAUGCUAAGUCCGUUUUAGAAAAUUCACAACGCUUCAUUAACAAGAAUGUAACGCCUUAAUAAAGACGGUUAUAGCUUGACAUCACAACAUUUUCUUCUUUCAAACCACGCUCGAUACAUGUUAUAUUGUUGCCUUCAUAAGAGUUCUAUCCGGUUUAGAGUAGAAAGAGAGCUGGUGAUUGGAUAGCCGCAGCUUUCCCAAUUGAUUGGGUGAUUUUCCUACUGCUUUGAUUAAAAAGAUAUGCCUAUCGUUUUAUCAAAAGUUUGGUUAAUACUAUCGAUUAAAAAAAUAAGUGUUCUGGAUCUUUUCAGUGAAGGUAAUAUUACAUGCUAUACAUGCAUUACUAUACCAUCCUGUUCUUCCUGUGCUUGAGUUGUAAAAAUUAAUCUCGAUCAUACGCAUGGUUCAUAACAAUCUGCAGAAGGGGCAUCUUUUGCCGAUUGAGUGUUCCGCCCUUCCUCCGGUGAAGCUCUGUCUUACAGCUUCAUGAAAUACAAACAAUCUUUGUAUUCAUAUACUUGACCGAGGAUUCCGACGAUACCUUCGCAAAACAAAAACUCUUUCUGCUUUGUUUUAAACAUUCAACUGAAAUCGCUAACUGUUACUGCACAAUUCAAUUGCCUGAGUCAACUUGAGCACAUCAAUUAGUGCGCUUUCGACGUAGAAUUACGUCUUACGACAACAUAUAUAGAGGUACAAAUUGUAAAACCGAAAACACCGAGAGCGUCACGAAUAUUAUCCAUUUUCAAAUGUUUUAAACUCAGUCAGUUUCCAGCGGAUUUCGUUCAUUUUUGAAGCAAAAAUAAUAUACAAAAAAUAUACCGCUUCACACCAUUAAAUUGCUUAACCCUAAUCGAGUGUAUUUCCAAAGCUAUUGCAACAAGUUUAUUGACAUAAGACAGGCUGUCGUAAUUCUACGUUAACUUGAGGUCGUAUCUUAUAAACAACCUCUUCAACUUUCUUUUAUGCGUGUAGCACUUUUGAUUUGCAUAAAAGUAAUAAUUUUCUGAAAGUUCAGUUAUUCUACAACAACAAAACUUGUUUGUUCAUAAGAAAUACCUAUAAGUUGGCGAGUAAUUGAAAACACCGGCUCUCGUCCGAUCACCGAAGUUAAGCAACAUCGGGCGCGAUUAGUACUUAGAUGGGUGACCGCUUGGGAACGUCACGAGUGAAGUGAGGAACCGACGAUCGAAUAUGAAUUCGAUAUUAACAGCAAAAAAAAAAGCUCCUGAAUGCCUUUGGCCUUGCUUAGUGCAACAAUCUGAUCACUUUACUUAGCUUCCUUCUUGCAACUUUUCACUCACUUGUUACUUGUUACUUGUUACGAACGCCGCGGUACUUCUGACCGUUUGGCGGUUUUUCAAUUCCUGAUUCCCCUCUUUUUACCACCCACCAUUUUUUUCCCUUUUCCUGAAUUCAAUUAUGCCCACCCCCUCAGAGUUGUAUUUUGCUAAUUGUGUAUAACAGUUUCUUAACCGCGUUUAGCUUGGCCCAUUUUAACAUAACAAUUUUUGUGUUUGUGUAUCUUACUAACCUAACUAAUAACAUUAUUUUUAUUUUAAUUUACUAAUCCUACUAACAAACUACAUGAAAAUAAAUUAGAAACACAAUAGUUAUAAUAUACAUACAGCACAUUUUAAAGAAUACUAAGGACAAUUUGUAACAACGGUUACAUAAUGGCCGUUUCCCCGAAACGCUUUUUUUGGCAGAGGUUUGCGGUGUUCACGAUAGCAACGCAGCAGAUCAACUGAAAUAAAAAUAUUUCAUUAGUUUGGAAGUGUGCCGGGUAUCUGAAUGAUAGUUUUCAUAAGUAUUUUAUUUUCAGUGCUAACGGAAAAUUUUUCCCGAAAAGACAUGUUUUCAGCGCUGUAAAUUGCAUUGAAUUUUUUUUAGGCAAAGUUAAACUUCUUGUAUCGAUCGUUUAACGACCGGGAAACACAGACAAACAGACGUGCCUCAUCGAAGAAAAAUCCUGAAAAAUCUUCGUCCUUAUUCGAAACGUGUAUGUGUACUCAUGCGCCACCAUGUGAGCCCACUAUCUUAUUGUCGUAGAACGGUUUUUGUCUUUGCUAAUGGGUGUGCACGCUUGCAUAAAUCAACACCAGCGGCAUUACUGACGGUUCUUGUCUUUGAUAAUGAAUGUACACGCUUGGUUAUGGCGACACUAGCGGCAUUGUUGCCCACUAAGCAAAAUUUCAAAAUAUUCGUUAUUUAUCUGGUCGAUGAAAUCGUCACCGACUGGCACGUCUGUUUAUCUGUGCGGGGAAUAUAGAAAUGAACAUUUAAAAAAAAAGAUGAAGAGAAUCGGUUCAGUAUCACGGAUAGAAAAGACUGGUGAUUGAAAAAACAAUUUUCAUAGUUGAAUUCUUUAAGCCUCAUGGUCAUAUUGUUGGUUCAACCCCAUAAUUUAUUAUUGGAAUAAAUUCUCUCAAUUGCGUUAACACCUUUGCAUAGUCGAAUUGACUAUCAGUGUCACUAGUCUGUCAUAGGUUAAAUCAAAACAAAAUUAGGUUUUAUUUCAACUAGUGUGUAUAGUUGAAACAACCAUAAACAAACUUGAAGUAAUAACCUAAAUCUUCUGGUGUCGUUUUACUCAUCAUGGCUUCCGACGCUGAAAACGGGGAAAUCUUUGCUGAAUAUGUAGUAGAUGAAGAAAUCAUAGAGUUAUUAAAAUCAUUCAACGUAUGUGCUGAGGGUAUCGAUAAAUUUAUCACCAACGGUCACGACGUGGAAUCUUUAAAAAUGAUUGAACGAGAAGAAGUUGAAGCUGCGCUGCAGUCGCCUCUGUUGGCUGAAAGAACAAAAUGUCUUGAUGGUUUGAACAAAGGCGUAUUGCACUAGUAAGUUAACAGCACUCUCUUUGAUUAAGGGAUCCAAAAAAGGAAGGUACAUUCUGGAAAACUUUAAUUCGACAAAAGCUUUAUCGAGAUUUGUUGAUGAAUUCGGGAAGCUGAAACAGGGGAAGUUGACAUUACGAUCAGAAGAAUUAAAACAUAUUUUUCCGUCGGUUGAUCAGUACGUGUGGUAUCAACCAAGAAUUAAGAUUGGCGAAAACGGCAAGAAAAUCAAAAUUAGCGAUACUGCAAAAAGUUGCCUAUACGACCGUAAUCACAAUUAUAAGCAAGUUCCGAAAUCCACCGCAGCAUCGCCAGCCCUAGAUGUACCGUCAUCAAGCAGUACCCAACCGUUUGUUGAUCUAUCCACAGAAGAAGUGAUCAAGUAUCAGGCCACAAAAAAACUGGUUCUGACAUCACCACAGCAAAUGGGACGAUGUAAAAAAGCGCUGGUGCUGUGCUUCUCGUUUACACGAAAUCAGCCGGUUUGCACGAAAUCAACUGGAUGAAUACCCGGUGCUGCGAAAUAGCAUUGGCUAUCAGUUGGUAAAACUGGAUUUCGGUUUCAAGCAUCCAACAAAAAGUAACCUACUAUUCAGCAAUUUCGCGUUGUAUCGCUCACGAGCUAAAAGUAUUUUCCGCAACGAGGUGCCCAUGCAAAUUAAACAACUUUUAAAUUUACUGUUCAACGAAGAGCUAUCGGAAGGUUUUUAUUUAUCCAUAUUUGAAAAAUGUUCUACACUAGAGAGAAGCCAGAUAGAAUUACUAUCCUGUGAAAAAUGUAAAAAAGUAUGAAGAAUGAAUUUCUGUUUCCAUUUGUAGAUUCCGGAGAUUGCAUAGCAUAUUGCUCCUGCUGUGAAUUUGGCCAAGUUCAUUUACACUUCUUCCUAACGGAAGUCGUGAAAAUAGUAUUGUGCACUUAAGGACGCUGGCCGAUUAUGAAACAGAACUUUCCAGGAUUAGUCAACAAAAUCCCGACCGGAAGCUACCAGACUAUCCCAUGGUGGUAGUAGUUGGUGGUACGAAAAGUUAUGUCAACCAGUUUUUCGUUAACUUUAUUGACAUUUCCUACAAAGCGGAGACCUUCCUGAAAGCAAUCGACAAUACAUUUAAAAUCUACAAGGCCUACGAUCUAAAUUUCCCCAGUGAAGCCGCCGGUCCAUGUAAUUUUAUAGCCCAUUAUUACCUUUAUUAGAGCCAGUAGAAGAUAAAAACAAAGCAAGAAUCCUUACUCUUUCUGCAACUCUUCGUUACCAACUAAUUUCAUAAUGAUUUCGUGCUUUAUCUCCGGUUGUCAAUGGAAGACUUUUUGCCCGUCGCUUUUCGGAAUCCAUCUACAUAGAGUUCACGAACCAUUUGCCGAUCAAUAUUUUUUUUGAUGAUUUUUCGACCAGUGACACGGUUUCUCCGCAUGUCAGAAGCACUAAAGUGUGCGGCAUUAAUUACUACAUAUCUUGUUUCACCGCCAUUUGUAUUGUCACGACAUGUGAAAAUUCUCACGGCCGGAUAUAUCAUGUCAGAAGAUAGAAAACAUUUUGGAAAUGAGCAAACGCUUUAUCAACUCGUUGAGACUUUGAGUUUUCUAGAAAACAUUGGAGUUUUUGUAAAACACAAAGGUAAUGAGAUAACGGUUUUUUAAAGUAGGAUUUGUUACAAAAGAUAACUUAGGAUUGACCGAAAUUUUGAAUUUAGUAGAAUUUCCUACAGGUACAGCGAAUUAUUAUUGUCGCAUGUGCAUACGAAUCAGGAAAGGGGAAUAGGACUGCAUUGAAUAUGAAGAUUCACUCAGAUCUACAGAGAUGUACAAAGAACACUUAGAGAUAAAUGACAUGUCAAGGACAGGUGUUAAAGAAAAUUGUAUUUUAAAUCGCAUACCUUCUUUCAACGUAGCUUCAAAUAUUUUCUUUGAUGUGAUGCAGGACGUUCUAUGGUUUAUCUCAUUGCCUGCAUUAUUUUGUAAAUCAGAAAUAUUUUACAAUAGAUGAUCUUAAUUGCCGGAUAAACCUUUUCGUUUACGGUCAUUUGAAUUCAUCUAAUAUUCCGGCCGAUGUCAAAGACACAAAUCUAGUUAAUCAAGAAAUACGAAUGACUGCUAAUGAAAUUAUUACGUUAAUGCGUUUUUUAUCGUUAAUAAUAAGCAAACUAAUUCCAAGUGGAGAUCCAGGAUGGAUUUAUUUCUGUAGCUUACUUGAAAUUUUUGAUUUAGUUUAAAUGCAAGAUUUUCCAAUUAGUCUAAUUCAAGAGCUUAAAGAUAUAGUCGAGUUUCACCAUAAGCAGUACGUCAUUUUGUUUAAAGAUACAUUGAAACCCAAGCACCAUACGCCACAUUGGUACAUUACGGCCACAGCAAUAAUCAAAUCUGGUAGUUUACGUCGGUAAUGGGGAAUGAGAUGCGAGGCCAAGCAUAAACAAGCAAAGCUACAGAGCAAAUUAUAACAAACCUAAUAUUUGCAGUUCUUUAAUUACUAAAGCAAGUUUUAAUUUUGCCAAUGACAUUUUUCAAAAUUCUUUAGGUUAAAAAAGAAAACAUACUUGGCUCUAAAAUUCCAAAUGAGUAUAAAACUCUUUUAACAUAUCAAGAAUGUGAUAUUGCUGCAAAUCACAUACAUCUUAUUUCUCAUUUCAAUAAACAUCAUUUGAUCUACGAACAUGGAACUAUUUUUGUCAUUGAACAUAAGCUACCGUCUGCCGGGGUGAGAUUAAGCCACGGGGGUGAGAUUGAGCCAAAACGGGAAAUGUUUGUAUGUCAAAUUACUUGCGAUUUCCAAAACCUAAUACCUCAAAUUCAAUACUUUAUGAAACAUGACAUAUUUAUUCACAACUUAAAAUGGAAUAUAGAUAAUAUCAGUGAACUGUUUCGCUUCAAGAACGUUUCAAAGUACAGGGUGAAAAACAUGCGCAAAUAACGUUAUCCGAAAAUGUCUCAGGAAAACCAACCCGAUCAAGAAAUCACAUCAACUUACUGCUCUGUUGGUACGUUAGGUACGUUGGUCUCCAAUGUGUUGAGGAAAUAUUAUGCAUUGAAUCUGUGCCGGCUCAGAAAAUAAUGUUUCUCCAAACUGUACACUUUUCGAGCCCUUUUGAGGUGAGAUUGUGCCAAGCUAUAUUGAACGGCACAGUGUGCGGAAUUCACAUUCAAAACAAAAUUAUAUCAGUAUACAGUAAAGUCUUUUUUUACACGGUUUUUUACACGGUUUCAUUUUACACGAUUCUUUUUUACGACGAUUUUCCAAAUAACACGAUUUUUUGCCUUUCUCCUAGAAAGGUAUAGCAAUCACUGGAAAAACCGAAGGUAUAAAAGUGGUCCCAAUGGCCGAAUGUCAUAUACCACUCGACUUCUUUCGACGAACUGAGCAUUUUCUGUAUGUAUGUGUGUAUGUGUGUGUGUAUGUGCAACUUUUUUUUCUCACUCACUUUUCUCAGUGAUGCCUGGACCGAUUUUCAUAAAAUUGAUUGCAAAUGAAAGGUCUAGUUGCGCCAUAAGUUGCUAUUGAAUUUCAUUGUAAUCGGAUUUUUAGUUUAGAGGUUAUGUAUCAAAAUGUAAAAAUCACGAAACAUCAAUAUCUCAGGAACCACACAACCGAUUUGAAAAAAACUGGUUUUAAAUGAUUGGGCAAUCUCCAGAACCCUUAACUUUUGAAUUUCGUUAUGAUUGAACGUAUGGUUCAAAAGUUAUGUAAAGAAAAGUUAUCCUGAGGUUGUUUAAACUC